rnacentral:lncRNA from 12 species
CUCUGAUAUUACAUUGUGCCAUAGCAUUAUUUCCCUCUUCUGUUUUUAGGUUUUUUUUUUUUUUUAUCUAUUUCCUCUCACAUUUUUCUUUAUGACUGUAACUUCGCUCAAACCUCCUUUUUGGUAGGGGUGGUAUUUCCUCCUUCUGAUAAUAGUCUUCUUAAUCUGUGCUCAGUGAAGGUGUUUGAUAAAUAUUAGUUGUUAGAAUAAAGGGUGGGUAGUUCUAUUGGAUGUUGCAUUUCUUCACCUGAAAUUAGAAUAAUAAAACAUACUCAUGGGGCUGACGUAAGGAUUAAAUGAACAAUGUGUAUAUAACAGAGUGCCUGCUGCUUGGUAAACAUUGGUAAAUUUUAUAUUCCCCAGAAUUAACUCAUUAAUGAAAACGCUUAUGUCACAAAACCACUUGGUUAUUUUGAAGCAGCAGUUGGACAGGAAUGAAUGAUUUGAGGCCUGCUUCAUUCAUUUAUGCACUUAUAUCAGGCACUAAAGAGGGAGUUUUAUUUUUUUAUUGUCUUUUUUUUUUUUUUUUUUUUUUUUUUUAAACAUUUUUUAAAUUUUUAUUUAUUUAUGAUAGGCACACAGUGAGAGAGAGAGAGGCAGAGACACAGGCAGAGGGAGAAGCAGGCUCCAUGCACCGGGAGCCCGACGUGGGAUUCGAUCCCGGGUCUCCAGGAUCGCGCCCUGGGCCAAAGGCAGGCGCCAAACCGCUGCGCCACCCAGGGAUCCCUAUUUUUUUUAUUGUCUUAAAGAAAGAAGAAAGGGGAAAAUAACAAGGAGGCUUCUGUCUGAGAUCCCAAGGCAGACGUAAAAAGCUAGAAGAGAAGAUAAAUAUGAGCUAUCGGCAGAGAAGGACUAUUGCUCUCCUUAACCCAGGCGAGGGAGAAUGCGUCCUAAGGAAAGAAGGGUUUAGUAAGACUUUCUGAGGCUUCUGAGGCUUCUAUGAGUUUUCGUUCCUUUUUUUUUUCUAACAUCGACCAGAAAGCUUUGUUGUCUAGGAAAGGGUAAAAGGAUGUCUGGCUGAAUUGGAAUUGACAAAACUAGGCAACUCAGAGAGGGCAGUCUCGGGAGCAGCCUUUAACCACAAAAGAGAUAUUGAAGGCGAUGCAAUCGAUGGAGCCGGAGCGGGCACAGGAGGAAGAUGAUGAAAACCAUCAAAUUCGAUCACUGGGCAGGAGUGGUCAGCGUUAGCUUCCUCGGCAAGGGUCACUCGAUGUCAGCCUCCAUUCAGGGGCUUUCACCUCCCCUGCUGAUUACUUUUUUAGGAUCAUAAAGUUU